rnacentral:rRNA from 1 species
CCUACGGGGGGCAGCAGUGGGGAAUAUUGCACAAUGGGGGAAACCCUGAUGCAGCGACGCCGCGUGAGUGAAGAAGUAUUUCGGUAUGUAAAGCUCUAUCAGCAGGGAAGAAGAAAGACGGUACCUGACUAAGAAGCCCCGGCUAACUACGUGCCAGCAGCCGCGGUAAUACGUAGGGGGCAAGCGUUAUCCGGAUUUACUGGGUGUAAAGGGAGCGUAGACGGCUGUGCAAGUCUGAAGUGAAAGCCCAGGGCUCAACCCUGGGACUGCUUUGGAAACUGUGGAGCUAGAGUGCUGGAGAGGUAAGUGGAAUUCCUAGUGUAGCGGUGAAAUGCGUAGAUAUUAGGAGGAACACCAGUGGCGAAGGCGGCUUACUGGACAGUAACUGACGCUGAGGCACGAAGGCCAGGGGAGCGAAAGGGAUUAGAUACCCCAGUAGUC